rnacentral:tRNA from 1 species
GCAUUAGAGGUUCAGUGGUAGAAUUCUCACCUUUCAUCCAGGAGACCUGGGUUCGAUUUCCAGCCAGUGCA